rnacentral:rRNA from 1 species
GGGAUAAGUAGAGUGGCAAACGGGUGAGUAACACGUGGGUGACCUGCCUUCGAGUGGGGGAUAACGUCCCGAAAGGGACGCUAAUACCGCAUAACAUCCUGCCUUUGAAGAGGUGGAGAUCAAAGCUGGGGACCGCAAGGCCUAGCGCUCAAAGAGGGGCCCGCGUCUGAUUAGCUAGUUGGUGGGGUAACGGCUCACCAAGGCAACGAUCAGUAUCCGGCCUGAGAGGGCGGACGGACACACUGGAACUGAGACACGGUCCAGACUCCUACGGGAGGCAGCAGUGGGGAAUUUUUGGCAAUGGGGGCAACCCUGACCAAGCAACGCCGCGUGGGUGAUGAAGUAUCUCGGUAUGUAAAACCCUUUCGACGGGGAAGAAAACCGCAAGGUUUGACGGUACCCGUAGAAGAAGCCCCGGCUAACUCCGUGCCAGCAGCCGCGGUAAUACGGGGGGGGCAAGCGUUGUUCGGAAUUACUGGGCGUAAAGGGCGCGUAGGCGGUCCGCUAAGUUAGAUGUGAAAACUCUGGGCUUAACCCAGAGCCUGCAUCUAAUACUGACGGGCUAGAGUUCUGGAGGGGAUAGCGGAAUUCCUGGUGUAGCGGUGAAAUGCGUAGAUAUCAGGAGGAACACCGGUGGCGAAGGCGGCUAUCUGGACAGAGUCCGACGCUGAGGCGCGAAAGCUAGGGGAGCAAACAGGAUUAGAUACCCUGGUAGUCCUAGCCCUAAACGAUGGAUACUUGGUGU